CCUACGGGUGGCAGCAGUGGGGAAUAUUGGGCAAUGGACGCAAGCCUGAUCCAGCUAUUCCGCGUGUGGGAUGACGGCCUUCAGGUUGUAAACCACUUUUGUUGAGAACGAAAAGUCUGUUGAUAAUACCGAUAGAUGAUGACGGUACUCUAAAGAUAAGCCCCGGCUAACUACGUGCCAGCCGCCGCGGUAAUACGUAGGGUGCGAGCGUUAAUCGGAAUUGCUGGACGGAAAGGGGGGGCGGGCGGUUUUGCAAGAUGGAUGGGAAAGCCCCGGGCUUAACCUGGGAAAGCCAUACAUGACUGGAAGACUAGAGUGCGUCAGAGGGGGGUGGAAUUCCAAGUGUAGCAGUGAAAUGCGUAGAUAUUUGGAAGAACACCGAUGGCGAAGGCAGCCCCCUGGGACGCAACUGACGCUCAUACACGAAAGCGUGGGGAGCAAACAGGAUUAGAUACCCGAGUAGUC
rnacentral:rRNA from 1 species